rnacentral:rRNA from 1 species
UGGGGAAUAUUGCACAAUGGGCGAAAGCCUGAUGCAGCGACGCCGCGUGAGGGAUGACGGCCUUCGGGUUGUAAACCUCUUUCAGCAGGGACGAAGCGCAAGUGACGGUACCUGCAGAAGAAGCACCGGCUAACUACGUGCCAGCAGCCGCGGUAAUACGUAGGGUGCAAGCGUUGUCCGGAAUUACUGGGCGUAAAGAGUUCGUAGGCGGUUUGUCGGGUAGUUUGUGAAAACCAGCAGCUCAACUGCUGGCUUGCAGGCGAUACGGGCGGACUUGAGUACUGCAGGGGGGACUGGAAUUCCUGGUGUAGCGGUGAAAUGCGCAGAUAUCAGGGGGAACACCGGUGGCGAAGGCGGGUGUCUGGGCAGUAACUGACGCUGAGGAACGAAAGCGUGGGUAGCGAGCAGG